GGUGGCUUAGUGGUAGAGUGCUUGCCUUGCAUGCAUGAGGUCCUGGGUUCGAUUCCUCAGCACCA
rfam:Dipodomys ordii contig_5808, whole genome shotgun sequence.